UUCUGGACUGACACUGACACUGAGGUGCGAAAGCGUGGGUAGCAAACAGGAUUAGAUACCCUGGUAGUCCACGCCGUAAACGAUGUCGACCAGCCGUUGGGUGCCUAGCGCACUUUGUGGCGAAGUUAACGCGAUAAGUCGACCGCCUGGGGAGUACGGCCGCAGGGUUAAAACUCAAAUGAAUUGACGGGGGCCCGCACAAGCGGUGGAGCAUGUGGUUUAAUUCGAUGCAACGCGAAGAACCUUACCUACCCUUGACAUCCUGCGAACCCGGAAGAGAUUCCGGGGUGCCUUCGGGAACGCAGAGACAGGUGCUGCAUGGCUGUCGUCAGCUCGUGUUGUGAAAUGUUGGGUUAAGUCCCGUAACGAGCGCAACCCUUGUCCUUAUUUGCCAGCGAGUAAUGUCGGGAACUCUAAGGAGACUGCCGGUGACAAACCGGAGGAAGGUGGGGACGACGUCAAGUCAUCAUGGCCCUUACGGGUAGGGCUACACACGUGCUACAAUGGCCGGUACAAAGGGCUGCGAGCUCGCGAGAGUCAGCGAAUCCCUUAAAGCCGGUCUCAGUCCGGAUCGGAGUCUGCAACUCGACUCCGUGAAGUCGGAAUCGCUAGUAAUCGUGAAUCAGAAUGUCACGGUGAAUACGUUCCCGGGCCUUGUACACACCGCCCGUCACACCAUGGGAGUGGACUGCACCAGAAGUGGUUAGCCUAACGCAAGAGGGCGAUCACCACGGUGUGGUUCAUGACUGGGGUGAAGUCGUAACAAGGUAGCCGU
rnacentral:rRNA from 1 species